rnacentral:tRNA from 1 species
UUAGGUAAAACCAAAAUAGAGGUCUAUCACUGUUAAUGAUAUUAUUGAAUAAAAUUCUACCUAGA